rnacentral:tRNA from 1 species
GGAGAGAUGGCCGAGCGGCUGAAGGCGCAGCACUGGAAAUGCUGUUGGCGGCUUAAACCGUCACGCGAGUUCGAAUCUCGCUCUCUCCG